CUAGCUAGGAGAACGCGGCUAGUCAGCAGGUCCAAGGCAGCAGAACCGUGUGAGGCUCUCUGGUCCCAAGGGCCAGGGUCAGGGACCUGCCCUGGUGGUCGCACAGCCUGGCCUUGGGGCAGAGCAGGAGUGGCAAGGGUCAGAGGCACAGACUUGGAUGCUGUCAGCUUCCUAUGCCACCCUCCAUGGGUGGUGGCACAUGCCAGCCGGGCAGUGACAGGCAGGAAACACCUAUAUGAAGAUGCUUCGGAAUGCCAGAGAUGCUGUGGAUCCACAGUAGAUCUGAAUGCCUGGGUUUGGUAGCAGUCACUGGGGAAUGGCAAGGGAAGGCGUAUGCCCGAGACCUUGUCACCUGGAGAAGGAAGGAUGAAAUGCUCAUGCCUAUAGACCCACUAUGUGCUGGGCUCAGCACCAGGCCAGAAACCAUAUCUGAACCAGCGAGACUAGAGUUAUUUGAGGAUGAUCCCUAGAAUGGAGAUUUCAAAUCACACUGUGCAAAUGAAUCCCCUGGGGACUUUGUUAAAAUGCGGAAUCUGACUUGCAAGCUCUCAGGUGAUGUGGAUGCUGCUGGUCCACAAACCACACUUGGAGUAGAAAAGCCCUAGUCUAGACUGCUAAACUUUUAUGAAGGAAGGUACUGGAACAGGCAUGUCUUGUUCUCUGCUCUAUCCUCCAGGUCUAGCAUGGUACCUGAUACAGAAGUGUGGAGGGGGAGGGCAAGGAGGCUCAAUAUAUGCUGUAUGAAUAAAUGAGUGAAUGAAUAAUGAAUAUUGG